CCAAUAGCGUAUAUUAAAGUUGUUGCAGUUAAAAAGCUCGUAGUUGAAUUUCGGGAUUGACGUGAUGGUCAUGCCUUAAGGGGUAUGAACUGUUACUGUUGAUUUCUCACCUUCUGGAGAAACUUGAUGUCCUUUAUUGGGUGUCUUGCGGAUCCAGGACCUUUACCUUGAAAAAAUUAGAGUGUUUAAAGCAGGCAUUUUUGCUCGAAUACAUUAGCAUGGAAUAAUAGAAUAGGACGGCAUGGUUCUAUUUUGUUGGUUUCUAGGAUCACCGUAAUGAUUAAUAGGGAUAGUUGGGGGCAUUAGUAUUCAAUUGUCAGAGGUGAAAUUCUUGGAUUCAUUGAAGACUAACUACUGCGAAAGCAUUUGCCAAGGAUGUUUUCAUUAAUCAAGAACGAAAGUUAGGGGAUCGAAGACGAUCAGAUACCGUCGUAGUCUUAACCAUAAACUAUGCCGACUAGGAAUCAGACGAUGUUAAUUUUUUAAUGACUCGUUUGGCACCUUACG
rnacentral:rRNA from 1 species